CAAAAAAUAGUUUAAUUAGAAUAUUAAUUUUGGAGAUUAGAGGUAUAUUGGUAAAUAUUUUUUUGA
rnacentral:tRNA from 1 species